rnacentral:rRNA from 1 species
UACGUAGGGUGCAAGCGUUGUCCGGAAUUAUUGGGCGUAAAGAGUUCGUAGGCGGUUUGUCGCGUCCGUUGUGAAAGCUUGGGGCUCAACUCCGAGCCUGCGUUCGAUACUGGAUGGCUAGAGUCUGGUAGGGGGAUCUGGAAUUCCUGGUGUAGCGGUGGAAUGCGCAGAUAUCAGGAGGAACACCGGUGGCGAAGGCGGGAUCCUGGGCCAGUACUGACGCUGAGGAGCGAAAGCGUGGGGAGCAAACAGG